ACAUAAUAUGUUGAUAGCAUAAAUAUAUAUCAGUAUGUAUAAUAUAUAUGUAUAUCAUUGUCAUCUCAUUGCUUAAAAGACUGUUCACUCUGGGGUUAAGACUCUUUCUUUGAGUCAGGGUGGGCUGUGGUUAAUCAUAGUGUUCUUUAUUGAUUCUUUUGCACCUUAGGUGGUUUUCUUUUCUAGGUACCUGUGUAUGGAGUUAGAGGAAGUAGGAUAUGGUUAGUGACUUAUUUUUAGAUCUCAUAUAACUCAGCUUUGCCUCUGUUAUUACAAUUCCAGACACCAUAGCUUCCUUGGUUACCCUUGCUUUGCAAGCUCCUUUUACACUUUGUGGUAAACCAAUUGAUCAUUGAGGCUGAAGAAAAUGAAGCAUGUAGAGAGAACGGCUGAGAACUAUGUUUCCUUCACUGACCUUAAAGUGGAGGAGUGACUCAGACCUGGGAGGAGGUGACAUUCUUGCUGUUAAUAACAGGAAACCCAACUAUUGCGAGAAGAGGGAUAUUGGAGAUGAAAUUUUGAUGAUAAAAUUGCAUGGAGAGAAGGGCUGCUGAUGGAUGAAGCUCCAAUUCACCCUUUCACCGCGGCACCCCACCCCCCACCACUCAGUGCUGCCCUGGGACACUGGACACGUGACCUCCGAUAAGAAUCACUCCAUUCAGAGGAGCUGGCAGGUGGAUGUCCUCUUUGCUCAAACAUGCGUGAAGGUCUCCACUCCCUAGAUCUCAUGGCUGUGGAGUUGGGAACUCUGGCUGGCCCUCCUCUGUUCUUUUGGAGAUAGUGCGUUUCUCCCUCCAGGUAAACUUCAAACUAGUGUUCAUUUAAAUAUUAAUUUGCAAUUGCGCCAUCUCUUCUGUGAUAUUACCACAGUCUGUGGCAAUUAGGCUGAGCGGGCCUCCUCGCUCUCUUGAAUCGCACGUCAAGGCAGCGCGGGGACUUGCUGCCGAGUCCGAUCCUUCCUUUCACGCCAUCCGAAACGCUCUGCACGGCGAACCACAUUGAAAUGAGCCCCUUCAUCUUCCGCAUGGAUAAUUAAACUUCAAACACUGUUUAUCUCAGUCCCCAAAUCCUCCGAAUGCAGAAGCAAAUUAAUUUUAAAUCUAUAUCUGCUUUAAAUAGUAAUUGUUUAAUCAACAGGCUUGAUGUAUAAUUAUAUUCUUUGUUCGUUCUCCCGGCAGGCUUGAAUAGACCACAUAAUUCCUGGGUUGCUUUCAUUUCUGUAAUUAGAUCAUGUGACAGACCCUCACUAUAUUACAGUUGACUCUAGUUACUUCUCCCCCCACCCCCUUCGAAGUUCUAAAACGGUUUCUCAUGAAUACUUAGAUUAUAACAGCUCAGCUUAACACCGAGCUGUGAGUGUUUUGCUUUAAUCCUUUAUUCUUCUUUCACCUAAUAAUUUACUCUGGAGCAAGUGAUCUUACUGGUGGCUGCUACACUGGGCUGGCUGUAUCCUUGCAGAAUUAAGAGUUCUUGUCCUUAUUUUGAACCAGUUUCCCUAAAGGAAAACCCUUUCGGACCACCACAUAGAAACACACUCUCUGGACUCUUUGAAGCCACUGUUAUCCUUGUAGAAGAAUGUAAGGUUCAAACUGAACAACAAAAGCAUAUACUGGGCUUUUGUUUUUUAAUCAUCUGUGGCUUCAUGGAGAAAGAGUAAGUCAUUUUCCUUAUUAGAAAGAGCAGUUUUGUCUCCAAGAAUUUACUUUACUUGCUUGGCUUCAU
rnacentral:lncRNA from 1 species